rnacentral:rRNA from 1 species
UACGUAGGGUCCGAGCGUUGUCCGGAAUUACUGGGCGUAAAGAGCUCGUAGGUGGUUUGUCGCGUUGUCCGUGAAAACUCACAGCUCAACUGUGGGCGUGCGGGCGAUACGGGCAGACUGGAGUACUGCAGGGGAGACUGGAAUUCCUGGUGUAGCGGUGGAAUGCGCAGAUAUCAGGAGGAACACCGGUGGCGAAGGCGGGUCUCGUGGGCAGUAACUGACGCUGAGGAGCGAAAGCGUGGGGAGCGAACAGG